AGCGUCCACCUUGACAAGCGAGGAUGCAGCAACUUACAAGUUUGUAAAAAGGAGGCAGCUCAGUGGACCACCCCCGCAGCCCCGACUGCCAGCAGCACGAGCAGUGGCAGACCACGCCGGGACACCAGCUGCGACUCUGCUCCAUCGCCCUCCGUAGUUGUCUCUUCGCCACCUCCGGCCGGUGCUGCUGCUCCGUCAGACGGGGAGUCAGAACCAGUCUCAGUAUCACCCCUCUUCUUCCUCACUAAAUAGAACGAGAAACACUUCUACAGUAAGCAAUUUCUUCCCUACCAAUUUGGAAGCAGUUAGUGACGAACACAGGUUCCAUCAGGACAUUUUGCAAAUGGAAAGCCAC